rnacentral:rRNA from 1 species
UACGGGGGGGGCAAGCGUUGUUCGGAAUUACUGGGCGUAAAGGGCGCGUAGGCGGCACUGUUAGUCAGGCGUGAAAUUCCUGGGCUCAACCUGGGGACUGCGCUUGAUACGGCAGAGCUUGAGGAUGGAAGAGGGUCGCGGAAUUCCCAGUGUAGAGGUGAAAUUCGUAGAUAUUGGGAAGAACACCGGUGGCGAAGGCGGCGACCUGGUCCAUUACUGACGCUGAGGCGCGACAGCGUGGGGAGCAAACAGG